rnacentral:rRNA from 1 species
AUUGAACGCUGGCGGCAUGCUUUACACAUGCAAGUCGAACGGUAACAGGCCUUCGGGUGCUGACGAGUGGCGAACGGGUGAGUAAUGCAUCGGAACGUACCCAGAGGUGGGGGAUAACGCAGCGAAAGCUGUGCUAAUACCGCAUGUGAUCUGAGGAUGAAAGCGGGGGACCGAGCAGCAAUGUUUGGCCUCGCGCCUUUGGAGCGGCCGAUGUCGGAUUAGCAAGUUGGUGGGGUAAAGGCCUACCAAGGCGACGAUCCGUAGCUGGUCUGAGAGGACGACCAGCCACACUGGGACUGAGACACGGCCCAGACUCCUACGGGAGGCAGCAGUGGGGAAUUUUGGACAAUGGGCGCAAGCCUGAUCCAGCAAUGCCGCGUGCGGGAAGAAGGCCUUCGGGUUGUAAACCGCUUUUGGCAGGAACGAAACGGUGUCCGCUAAUACCGGGCGCUAAUGACGGUACCUGCAGAAUAAGCACCGGCUAACUACGUG